rnacentral:rRNA from 1 species
AAAAGGUACUCCAAGGAUAACAGGCUUGUCGCCCCCGAUAGCUCAUAUUGACGGGGCGGUUUGGUACAUCGCUGUCGGCUCUUCCUAUCCUGGUUGUGCACAAGCAACCAAGGGUGUCGGAGUUCACGCAUUAAAAGGGAUCGUUAGCUGGGUUAAGAACGUCGUGAGACAGUUUGUAUAAUAUCUACUAGGCGCGUUGUUGUUUGAGUGGAACGAGUAUUCAGUACGAGAGGAACGGUACUUGGGUGCCUCUGGUGUAGCGGUUGUUACGAGCAGGCCGCGCAGCUACGCACCGUAUGGAUAAGCGCUGAAAGCAUCUAAGCGCGAAACCAUCCGCAAGACGAAACAACUAAGGCCGCAAUAGAAGAUUGCGUUGAUAGAGCUGGUGUAUAAG